GGGGAUGAACCGGUUUCGACGGAAUUGGGAAGUCAUGUGUUGCAGGUAAGGGUGAAGGUCCUUUGAACUGACAAAAACAAUAACUGCAAAACGUAGAGAAGACGAAGAGUCUGAAAACGAACAGUUAGCUUUAGCUGCUUAAUUGUAGCUUUAGCCGGAAUAUUAACGACGCUGUUCCGAGCCGUUAAAUAUUCUGUCAAAAAUCGGGACUUGCUAUAUAAUGUGUCUAGUCGUUAUAUGGGACUUAUUAAUUAGAAUACGGAGUCAACGCUUGUUAUGCUGCUACUGAUUCCCGACAAUUACCUCGCAUAACUAAAUCUGUAGAAGUGCAUGGUUUACUUUUUCGGACGCGAGUUCAAUUCUCGCCAUCUCCAAUA
rnacentral:tmRNA from 1 species